rnacentral:rRNA from 1 species
UUGACCUCGAAUCAGGUAGGAAUACCCGCUGAACUUAAGCAUAUCAAUAAGCGGAGGAAAAGAAACCAACUGGGAUUACCUUAGUAACGGCGAGUGAAGCGGUAACAGCUCAAAUUUGAAAUCUGGCUCCUCUGGAGUCCGAGUUGUAAUUUGUAGAAGAUGCUUUGGGUUGUGGGUUCGGCCUAAGUUCCUUGGAACAGGACGUCAUAGAGGGUGAGAAUCCCGUAUGUGGCCGAGGCCCGCGCCUAUGUAAAGCUCUUUCAACGAGUCGAGUUGUUUGGGAAUGCAGCUCAAAAUGGGUGGUAAAUUUCAUCUAAAGCUAAAUAUGGGCCAGAGACCGAUAGCGCACAAGUAGAGUGAUCGAAAGAUGAAAAGCACUUUGGAAAGAGAGUUAAACAGUACGUGAAAUUGUUGAAAGGGAAGCGCUUGCACCCAGACUUGGGCGCUGCUGAUCACCUUGCGGUCUCCGCGAGUGCACUCGACAGCGCACAGGCCAGCAUCGGUUCGGGUGGCUGGAUAAAGGCCGUAGGAACGUAGCUCCCUUCGGGGAGUGUUAUAGCCUACGGUGCCAUGCAGCCCAGCCGGACCGAGGACCGCGCCUUCGGGCUAGGAUGCUGGCGUAAUGGGUGUAAGCGACCCGUCUUGAAACACGGACCAAGGAGUCUAACAUCUAUGCGAGUGUUUGGGUGGUAAACCCAUACGCGGAAUGAAAGUGAACGUAGGUGAGAACCCCUUUGGGGCGCAUCAUCGACCGAUCC